rnacentral:rRNA from 1 species
UCCCCUAGUAACUGCGAGUGAAGCGGGAAAAGCUCAAAUUUGAAAUCUGGUGGUUCUUGAGCCAUCCGAGUUGUAAUCUAGAGAAGUGUUACCUGUGCUGGACCGUGUACAAGUCUCCUGGAAUGGAGCAUCACAGAGGGUGAGAAUCCCGUCUUUGACACGGACUACCUGUACGAUAUGGUGCGCUCUCAAAGAGUCGAGUUGUUUGGGAAUGCAGCUCAAAAUGGGUGGUAAAUGCCAUCUAAAGCUAAAUAUUGGCGAGAGACCGAUAGCGAACAAGUACCGUGAGGGAAAGAUGAAAAGAACUUUGGAAAGAGAGUUAAACAGUACGUGAAAUUGCUGAAAGGGAAACGCUUGAAGUCAGUCACGUCGACUGGAAAUCAGCCUUUGCUUUUGCUUGGUGUACUUUCUGGUUGAUGGGUCAGCAUCAAUUUUGACCACUGGAUAAAGUCUUUGGGAAUGUGGCAUCUUAGGAUGUGUUAUAGCCCAUUUUCGCAUACGGUGGUUGGGAUUGAGGAACUCAGCACGCCGCAAGGCCAGGUCUUCUAUGAUCAUGUUUCGUGCUUAGGAUGCUGGCAUAAUGGCUUUAAUCGACCCGUCUUGAAACACGGACCAAGGAGUCUAACAUGCCUGCGAGUGUUUGGGUGGAAAACCCAUGCGCGCAAUGAAAGUGAAAGUUGAGAUCCCUUCUCAAAGAGGGGAGCAUUGACGCCCGGACCAGACCUUUUGUGACGGAUCCGCGGUAGAGCAUGUAUGUUGGGACCCGAAAGAUGGUGAACUAUGCCUGAAUAGGGUGAAGCCAGAGGAAACUCUGGUGGAGGCUCGUAGCGAUUCUGACGUGCAAAUCGAUCGUCAAAUUUGGGUAUAGGGGCGAAAGACUAAUCGAACCAUCUAGUAGCUGGUUCC